GCAAGUCGAGGGGUAACAUUUAUGCUUGCACCAGAUGACGACCGUCGCACGGGUGAGUAACGCGUAUACAAUUUACCUUAUACAGGAGGAUAGCCUUUAGAAAUGAAGAUUAAUACUCCAUGGUAUAUAGAUAUCGCCUGAUAUUUAUAUUAAAGAUUUAUCGGUAUAAGAUGAGUAUGCGUUCUAUUAGCUAGAUGGUAAGGUAAUGGCUUACCAUGGCAACGAUAGAUAGGGGCCCUGAGAGGGGGAUC
rnacentral:rRNA from 1 species